rnacentral:lncRNA from 13 species
UGGAGUUCAGCUGUGCGAUCGUGGCUCACUACAACCUCUGCCUCUGGAGUUCAAGCGAUUCUUCUGCCUCAGCCUCCUGGGUAGCUGGGACUACAAAUAAAACGCUGCCCAUUGUGUACAGAAUCUCCAUCAUAUCACCCAAACAGAAUCUGCCUGACCAUGUGAACAACAAGGGAGGUCACUCUAAGUGCCUUUUAAUGUGUGCUGAAGAAAGGGCAGCACAGCUGAAGCCUGAUUUAAAAUUUGAUCUUCUCCUUAAUGUCACAAGGACAUCCUGAGACAAUGACUGAGGAGCUAUGCACCAGUACUCAGCUGGAUCCCUGAUACUUACAUUGACAGAUGCAUUAUCAACACAGACAUUG